rnacentral:misc_RNA from 1 species
GAAACGCGAUAGUUAAUGUGAAUUGCAGAAUUCAGUGAAUCAUCGAGUCUUUGAACGCACAUUGCGCCUCCUGGUAUUCCGGGAGGCACGUCCGUUUGAGCGUCAGCUUAACCUUCCGGGUUGCUUUAUGUAAUUUGGGCACUGGCGGGGGGGACAACCCCCCCGCUUAAACGCAGGGAAGCUGGCGGCACCAACCGCAACGACUCAUAGAAUUUCUACCCGUCGUAAGCCUUUGGCGCAGCAAACUUCUAAAAAUCAGGUUCCAGUAACUUUAUUUUUGACCUCAAAUCGGACGAGGAUACCCGCUGAACUUAA